rnacentral:rRNA from 1 species
UGGGGAAUAUUGCACAAUGGGCGCAAGCCUGAUGCAGCCAUGCCGCGUGUGUGAAGAAGGCUUUCGGGUUGUAAGGCACUUUCAGUGGGGAGGAAAGGGUGUCGGUUAAUACCUGACAUCUGUGACGUUACCCACAGAAGAAGCACCGGCUAACUCCGUGCCAGCAGCCGCGGUAAUACGGAGGGUGCAAGCGUUGAUCGGAAUUACUGGGCGUAAAGCGCGCGUAGGCGGUAAGUUAAGCAAGCUGUCAAAGCCCCGGGCUCAACCUGGGAACUGCAGUUUGAACUGGCUUGCUGGAGUACAGCAGAGGAUAGUGGAAUUUCUAGUGUAGCGGUGAAAUGCGUAGAUAUUAGAAGGAACACCAGUGGCGAAGGCGACUGUCUGGGCUGAUACUGACGCUGAGGUGCGAAAGCGUGGGGAGCAAACAGGAUUAGAUACCCCCGUAGUCC